CCUUUAUAUCUCUAGCCUAGUUUUUCUCUGGAGAGGUAGCUGUGUCUCUGCAGUGAAGAGCACUAAACUUGGAGUCAGGAAGUCCUCAGUUUAAAUCCAGCCUCAGAUACUUCCUAGGUGUGGAUUGCGGGUAGUAUCUCCAUUAGAAAUUUGGGUGCUGGAUGGCAGCUUAGCAAGAAGCAAAAGUUCAGACCUCGUGGAAGACCCUUCCUUAACUGAUACAGACUGAAUGCUCCUAGGGCACUGAAAUUCAAUCUGAACAACAGGACAGAAGCAGGGAACCCUCCUUCUGGACUCAAAUCAAAAGAUAUCAUGAUUGCAACUCCUGAUUUCUUUCUAUCAGUUGAGGCCCAGAAGUUCUUACUCC
rnacentral:lncRNA from 1 species